UCGUUCUUGAGGUGUGAGGGGGAGAGCCAUGCUUCGAAUGGUCCCAUGAUGUUGAUGGACAAAAAUUGUUUUGACCAAUUUGCCCUCAAAUCAGGUGGGACUACCCGCUGAAACUUAAGCAUAUCAAUAAGCGGAGGAAAAGAAACUAACGAGGAUUCCCCUAGUAACUGCGAGUGAAGCGGGAUAAGCUCAAAUUUAAAAUCUGACAGCCUUUGGCUGUCCGAGUUGUAGUCUGGAGAAGUGUUUUCCGCGCUGGACCGUGUACAAGUCUUCUGGAACGAAGCGUCAUAGAGGGUGAGAAUCCCGUCUCUGACACGGACUACCAGUGCUCUGUGAUGCGCUCUCAAAGAGUCGAGUUGUUUGGGAAUGCAGCUCAAAAUGGGUGGUGAAUUCCAUCUAAAGCUAAAUAUUGGCGAGAGACCGAUAGCGAACAAGUACCGUGAGGGAAAGAUGAAAAGCACUUUGGAAAGAGAGUUAAACAGUACGUGAAAUUGUUGAAAGGGAAACGCUUGAAGUCAGUCGCAUUGACCAGGACUCAGCCUUGCUUCUUUUUGCUUGGUGUACUUCUCUGGUUGGUGGGCCAGCAUCAAUUUUGACCAUUGGAUAAAGGUCAGGGAAAUGUGGCACCCUUCGGGGUGUGUUAUAGUCUCUGUUGCCGCAUGCAGUGGUUGGGAUUGAGGAACUCAGCACGCCUUCAUGGUCGGGGUUCGCCCACGUCUCGUGCUUAGGAUGCUGGCGUAAUGGCUUUAAACGACCCGUCU
rnacentral:rRNA from 1 species